rnacentral:lncRNA from 1 species
CCUCCCUGGGCAGCCUGCCACCUGGGUAGAGAAGAUCUUUUGGCCUAGAAAGAUUUUCUGAGACUCUUCAGCCCCAGUGCCUCUGGUUUGGUUGAAUUCUUCCAGGAGUGCUGCGCAGUCAUAGGACUUGCCUGGCCCUGCAGCCUGAAGCAGGCUUCCUGCACAGGCCCGAGGCCUGAGGCUCAGCAGGGUCCUCGCGGCUCCCUUCUCACACCUCAGCGGAAUUCUCUCCUUGGCCUGGUUGGCCUCACACUGGACUCCUUUGGUGAGAUUCAGCUGUCCUCCUUUAAGACUCAGAAAUCGUCUUUUCCAGGAAGCUCUCUGGGAUCCCACCCCUUUGCUGGGAAGAGUGGGCCCUUCUGAACCCCUCUGAGCAUCCUGCCUUUUGUACACGAUCAAUGUGGAGGAAGUUGUAUGAGGUGGGGAGAGGCUUUAUCGAUCCCUGUGCAACAAUAAUGGUAGUUGUGACGGCUGCCGUCGGCUGCUUCCUCUGAUGGUCCUGGCACUGCGCUGUGCAGACACAGCUGGGCUGACCUCAUCCAGACAACCCCGUGAGGGAAGAGUAGCUGUCUCGUACAACAGAGGCCUCCGUGCCCACGAUCACAUCAUCACUAAGCAUCAGAGUUAUUAAUAGUACACAGACGGGAGUCAGUUUGAAGCCUCAGAGUCCUCUGGAAAUGGCGGUUAGGGAAGGAGAAGGGAAGGAAGGAGAAGAGAGGGAGGGAGGGAAGAAAGGAUGCCCCCCCCCCCCCCCCCCCCCCCCCCCCCCCCGCCACCACCACCCCACUCUGUCCAUGCCCCUGGGGGCAGGUCUACUGGCUGUCUAUUUCCCGGAGCUGUUGAGUCCCCGCCCCCUCCCACAAGCCCUUCCCAGAACUCUCUCAGCCUGGAAUCCUGGCCUGGGGAAAAUGCAGUUGUCAAAUCAAAGCCUGUUGGUGGGGAAGUUUGCUGCACCCGGGUGUGUUUGGUGCUGCGCUCCAGAACUGACUCACUGAAGAUUUGCUGUUGGACUGAUCCACACUGUAUGUCUUCUGAAGGCUUGUUUCCAGUCUAAGAAUUCUGAGCUGAGGGAUGUUCUUUCUCCCUGACAGCCUCCCCUGAGCCCGAAAGAGGAGAGCUAGACAAAGUACGUUCCUCCGCCUGUCUCCCCAAGCUGCACAGAUGUUCUGUUUGCAAUUCUGUGAAUUGAAUUGAGUUGGGACCUGGGGGUAGGGGGUGGGGGGCUUCCUAGGUGGCACAGUAGUAAAGUAAAAUUGGCAUUCCUUCCUGUCAAUGCAGGAGAUGCAGGAGACACGGGUUCGAUCUGUGGUUGGGAAGAUCCCCUGGAGUAGGAAAUGGCAACCCACUCCAGUAUUCUUACCUGGAAAAUUCCACAGUCAGAGGAGCCUAGUGGGCUGCAGUCCUUGGGUCGCAAAGAGUCAAAUACAACUGAGUGACUGAGAACGGGACGCAUGGGGAGGAGAAUAGCUGGGCCUUUCUGCUCCAAAAGGCAGAGUCAUUGCAGCAAGUCCCUCAGCAGCUGCAGGCACCCCCCGCCACCAGAUGCUGCCCAAGUGGCUGGGGUUCCCAUAGCAACUUCUGUGGGGACCAGCUGUCCCUACUUUGCCACAGGUCCUCCUGGACUUGUGUGAGAGGUUAGGAAGAGAAUGUGGAGGAUGCCAAGAAAGUGAUAUCACUUUGACAUGCAGAUGCUUUUAUCCUCACAAUAACCCUGAGAGGAACAUGCUAUGAUUGUCCUCAUUCUACUGACAAGGAAGUGGAGGUCCAAGGUCACCCACCAACAAACAAGAGGACUGGUCUGUAGUUGUAUCAGUUUGCACUGAUGCAUUCAGCGUGGAUCAGCGUAAGUAAGGAUCUCUGGCUGCAAGCAAUAGAAACUUCCGUAAAUAGGAAAGAAUGCGUGGAGGGACUAUGGUGCGGUGCCAGCAACAUGGGAAAAGUGAGACAUGUGAUUGGAAAGAACAGGAAGUAGGGCAGCUUCAAGGGUCUGGGUGGAAGGAAUGAACAAUCAUUUCAUCAGAAUGAAGACACUUCUGUUUUUAAAUCUUUUUUCCUCUCCUUUUAGGACUCAGGUUCAGAAGGGCCUGGGUCCAGUGCCACCUGUUAACUGGGAGAAGGCAGAGGCUGUGAUUGACAGCCCUACCGAACCUAUAUCUGGUGGGGUAGGGAGAGGUUCCCCUGAAAAACCUGGGAUGCUGUUUCUAGAAGAAAGGGGAAUGAAUGAAUGCCAGGCAGGCCAGAACCCAAACUCACCUGACUGAACCAUGCCAUGGGGCACAGGAUGUUCUGCAGGCUAACUGACCUUGCACACCCAACACACACACACACACACUCACACACACACACACACACACAUACUCACACACACACACACACACACACACACACUCCUUUUCUCUUUAGCUUUUAGUCUUGGUUGUUAGAAAGAGACCUGCGUGCCUGUGUGGGUGCUGAGUCAUGUCCACCUCUUUGUGACUCCGUGGACUGUAGCUCGACAGGCUCUUCUGUCCAUGAGAUUUCCUAGGCAACGCUGGAAUGAGUUGCCAUUCCAUCCUCUAGGAGAUCUUCUGCACUUAGGGAUGAAACCUGUGUCUCCUGAACUGGCAGGCAGAAUCUUUACCAUUGUGCCACCUGGGAAGCCCCAGAAAGAGCCCUGCUGCUGCUGCUAAGUUGCUCAGUCGUGUCCGACCCUGUGCGACCCCAUAGACAGCAGCCCACCAGGCUCCACCAUCCCUGGGAUUCUCCAGGCAAGAACACUGGAGUGGGUUGCCAUUUCCUUCUCCAAUACAGGAAAGUGAAAAGUGAAAGGGAAGUCGCUCAGUCGUGUCCAACUCUUCUCGACCCCAUGGACUGCAGCCCACCAGGCUCCUCCGUCCAUGGGAUUUUCCAGGCAGGAGUGCUGGAGUGGGGUGCCAUUGCCUUCUCCAAGAAAGAGCCCUAGUAGGCUUCUAAUGUUAUAUGUAAUUUCCUCAUUAGGUAUUUUUUUUACAAGAUUUUUUUGGAUGUGGACCAUUUUAAGAGUCUAUUGAACUUGUUACAACAUUGCUUCUCUUUCAUGUUUUGGGUUUUUAGGCAAGAGGCAUGUAGGGUCUUAGUUCUCCAACCAGGGAUUGAACCGGCACCCCUGCACUGGGAGGCGAAGCUUUAACCACUGCGCGCCUCAUUGUGUUUACGUUUAUUGUCUAUCGCCUGCCUCUCCUGUCCCCUCUAGAACAUAAGAUCCAGGAAGACGGGUAUUUUCUCCUAUGUGUUCACUACUGUGUUCCCAGGGCCUGAAAGAGCGCCUGGCACCUAGUAGGAGCUCAGUAAAUGCUGAAUGACUACAGAAGCACCAACCACUCCAACAGACACUUGGGGUGUGGAAGUGAACUGAAAGCACGAUCCGGACCUCACAAAGCUUUGGAUCCGUAACACAGAAACAACAUAAGUAAAUAGCAAAAGAAUAAAACUAAGAUAAUAAAAAAUUGUAAUAUGUAC